UCGAGGGGUAUAGUUCUUCGGAACUAGAGACCGGCGCACGGGUGCGUAACGCGUAUGCAAUCUACCUUUCACAGAGGGAUAGCCCAGAGAAAUUUGGAUUAAUACCUCAUAGUAUUAUAGAGUGGCAUCACUUUAUAAUUAAAGUCACAACGGUGAAAGAUGAGCAUGCGUCCCAUUAGCUAGUUGGUAAGGUAACGGCUUACCAAGGCAACGAUGGGUAGGGGUCCUGAGAGGGAGAUCCCCCACACUGGUACUGAGACACGGACCAGACUCCUACGGGAGGCAGCAGUGAGGAAUAUUGGACAAUGGGCGCAAGCCUGAUCCAGCCAUGCCGCGUGCAGGAUGACGGUCCUAUGGAUUGUAAACUGCUUUUGUACAGGAAGAAACAGUUCUACGUGUAGAACCUUGACGGUACUGUAAGAAUAAGGAUCGGCUAACUCCGUGCCAGCAGCCGCGGUAAUACGGAGGAUCCAAGCGUUAUCCGGAAUCAUUGGGUUUAAAGGGUCCGUAGGCGGUUUAGUAAGUCAGUGGUGAAAGCCCAUCGCUCAACGGUGGAACGGCCAUUGAUACUGCUAAACUUGAAUUAUUAGGAAGUAACUAGAAUAUGUAGUGUAGCGGUGAAAUGCUUAGAGAUUACAUGGAAUACCAAUUGCGAAGGCAGGUUACUACUAAUGGAUUGACGCUGAUGGACGAAAGCGUGGGUAGCGAACAGGAUUAGAUACCCUGGUAGUCCACGCCGUAAACGAUGGAUACUAGCUGUUGGAAGCAAUUUCAGUGGCUAAGCGAAAGUGAUAAGUAUCC
rnacentral:rRNA from 1 species